AGUUCUUCUGUGCUCAGUGGUAGAACAUCAGCCUUGAAUCCAGAAGGUCACAGGUUCAAUCCCUGGCAUCUCUA
rnacentral:tRNA from 1 species